rnacentral:sRNA from 1 species
AGGCAAAAUGUAAAAUUGUAAAACACUAGAUUUUAACCCGCGGUACACUGCGGGGACAAUUUAUCUUUUUAAAGUUAGUAUAAU